UUGGAGGAAUGUUGCGUCUCACUAAAGAAGCCAGUGAGUGGUCAUCAGUUUUGAGAAAUGGUCUCUGGAACUUAAACGGAGAUGAAAAUGCGGUCUUGCAAGUACUGAAGCUGAGUUUUGUUCAUUUGCCAUCAACAUCUGUAAAGAAGUGUUUCGCAUAUUGUUCAAUUUUCAGUCGGGAUCAUGACAUUGAAAAGGAUCAAAUGGUUCAAUUAUGGAUGGCCGAAGGAUUUCUCCAACCGAGCCAAGGAGAUCAUUUGAAAAUGGAAAGCUUGGGAAAUGAGUUUUUCAACAUCUUGUCGCAAAAUUCUCUAUUGCAGGAUGUGAAAAGAGAUGACUAUGGUAACAUUACCCAUUGUAAGAUGCACAACCUUGUUCAUGCUCUUGCACAAUCAAUUUCGAGAUAUGAAGGAUUUAAUGUAGGGUCCAGUGCAGGAGAUGGCCAUCCACAUGUUCGGUAUCUUUCAAUGGAGUCUUUAAAGGAAUCAAUGCCUUCAGUUGUUAAGGAAAAAGCAAGAUCUCUACGCACCUUGUUUUUAGCAGAUAAUGUUUCCGGGAGCAUAUUAUCAAACUUUAAGUAUUUGCGUGUAUUAAGUUUCCAUGGUGUUGACAUUGUUGAGGUACCCUCAUCAAUCAGCAAGCUAAUACAUUUAAGAUAUCUUGAUCUAUCAGGCACCAAAAUUCGAACUUUGCCAGAUUCAAUUUGCAUGCUUUUUAAUCUACAGACUUUGAGACUAAAUGGAUGUGACUUUCUUGAAGGGAUUCCGACUCAGUUGAGCAAGUUGAAUAACUUGAGACACCUUUACUAUUAUUCGUUCGAAGAAACUUGCGCAAUGCCAUUCAAGAUGGGACAGUUAACUUGUUUGCAAACAUUGCAGUUCUUCAAUGUUGAUUAUGCUGGUGGUCAUCGAAUUUCAGAGAUUGGAUUUUUGAAGGAUCUUGGAGGGGAGCUGGAAAUAAGAAAUCUUGAGAAAGUAAAUAAUCAGCAAGAAGCUCGAAGUGCAGAUCUGUCUAGGAAGGAAAAUGUUCAUAAGUUAAUAUUUGAAUGGAGCAGCGGGAGGCGAGGCGCAAUCAGUGAUGAUUUUGUCUUGGCAGGCCUUGAACCUCAUCCAAAUUUGAAGAGCUUGAUGGUCAAGAACUUCAUGGGUGCCAAGUUACCAACAUGGAUUAUGACAAUGAUGGUCAGUACUGUUGAGGGAAACUUAUUGGGAUUAGAUAAUCUGGUGGAGAUCAAAUUGAAAGGCUGUAGAAAGUGUGAAGAACUACCGAUGCUUGGGCACCUACCGCAUCUCAAAUAUCUAGACCUCACUGGACUGGAUAAUUUGAAAAGCAUUAAUCGUUCUUUUUAUGGUGAUGAUUUUCUCAGAUCAAGAACCUAUGAAGGUGAUAAUGCAAAUAUAGCAUUAUUCAGAGCACUAAAAAGACUCAUUUUCUGCGACUUGCCCAACUUAGUUGAGUGGAUUGGACCAGAAGAGGUGACAACAGAAAAGGAACAUGUGAAGGUGUUCCCUCACUUGGAGGAAAUAGAGAUACAGAACUGUUCACAAUUAACUACCACGCCUUAUUCUUUCCCCGGCCUGGAGGAAUUCAGGAUUUCAAAUGUUAGCAGUUACCAGCCCUUGGAAAAUAUAUGCAGCAGUAGCAGUAACUCAUCAAGUCUUACAUUCCUACAAAUCGAUGGACUGCUGGAGCUUGCUUGCCUUCCAGACAAUCUUCUUAACAAUAUAAAGAAUCUGGUAUAUCUGGCUAUACAUAAAUGUCCCAAUCUAGUGCAUGUUGUUCCACGUGUGAGGGGUUUUGGCUCCUUUCUUCGCGUGUUAGAUAUCAAUGAGUGCACAAACCUCAGCACAUUGCCUGAUGAUCUACAAACUCUUCAAUCUCUUGCAAUGCUUUGGAUAUCUAGAUGUCCAAAAAUUACAUCAAUUCCAAGCUUGGAAGGCCUGAAGACCCUUGAAGAGCUGAAAAUCAGUUACUGUAACGAGUUGGCUUCUCUACCAAAUGAAAUGCUACUGUCCUGCAUGUCUCUCAAGUCUUUGAGCGUAGAAAACUGUGCUAAUUUGACCUCUUUUCCGGACUUGCAACAGUUGAAUUCCCUUUUAUCAUUGAGAAUUGUUGAUUGUCCCCAGCUGACUCGUCUCCCCAAGGGGCUUCAUUCUCUUUCUUGCUUAAACUACUUAAGGAUUGGUCCAUUUUCAGAGGAUCUCACUUCAUUCCCGAUUCUUGAUUAUGAUGACACUCCUAGUAGUGAGAUACAUGAGGAAAACUUUCAACUUUUCUCUCUUAGAUGUUUAACACUAUUUGGGCGACCUCAUUGGGACUCGUUGCCUGCAUGGCUUCAAAAUCUUACUUCUUUAGCUGAACUGCAUCUUUAUGAUUUUGGAUUUGAAGCUGUGCCUGAAUGGAUAAAAAGCAUGUCUUCCCUAGAGCGAUUGGGCCUAUACUUGUGUGAAAAGCUAACUUUUCUUCCCUCCGUUGAAGCCACAAAAUGCCUUGUGAAACUAAGGGAAGUGGAGAUUUACAAUUGCCCCUUAUUGAGUGAAAGAUGCUCUUCUUUGAGUGGUGCUAAUUCUGAAUGGUUCAAGAUUUCUCAUAUAAACCAAAUCAAAGUCGACGGCAAACAAAUCAUGCCCGAGCCUUCUUAUGAAGUGUUACCAUCUCCAACUCUCACAAAAAAGAAAAGACCGAAAUCUAAAGAGGAAGAAAUGAGGUGAAGAACAACGACUAGUGUGGGGAAGCGAUCAAAGAUGAGAGAAAAAUGAGGAAAUCUUGCUUAAUGGGGUGGAAGUUGUGACUGGAUCAGUUAUGGGGCCUAUGGUGAGGUAAGCUGGCAAAAAAUACUUGGCCGUGGUCCCUGGAGAAGUACUCUUGGCUUCACUUGAUCCUGUCAUUGGCAUCUUAUUUGGACUUCAGGCAUCAACAAGAAAAUGGUAGGUUCCCAUUAUCAGGCUGAAGAAACAAAAGAUGUUUCUCUCUAAUGACUUAUUGGUAAUGAAACUGAUUUGAAUCCAAAUAACUGGCAAUAGAUGCAAUAAGAAGCACCGAAUUGCAUCUGACUUGAAGGCACAGCAUGUUCUUCCAGAAUGAUACUGGAAAUUAUUGUAGCCUUCCUCCUUGUGUAUUUGUUUAUAAGUUAGCUUUCAAGAGACUGGAUAUGAGCAUUGAUCUGUGAAUGCCAUCCCCUUUUUAGACGGCUUUCAAACGUCACAGUUAGAUGAAUGAAGGCUUUCUAGAAAGAACAUGGAUGAAAUUGUGCUCACUGGCCCUGUUGCUAGCUUUCAAUUGGAUUACUUCGUUUUACAUUUGCAUUCAUCUUAUCCUUCUGGUUUGAAUAACAUUUGUUAGCGCUUGAACUACUAGUGCAAAAGCAUAGUUGUCUUCUGCUUGAUUGCCCCAUAACCUUUUAUUUUAUUUCAAGUUGCGUCUUGUAUCAGUUGUACUCAGAUUCUUAGAUUGCCCCAUAACUUAGUAUUUUGAAUAUUUGCGUUCA